rnacentral:lncRNA from 1 species
UUUUUUGUUUUUUUUGUCUUUUUUAGGGCCGCACCUGCAGCAUAUGGAGGUUCCCAGGCUAGGGGUCGAAUCAGAGCUGUAGCCGCCAGCCUACAUCAGAGCCACAGCAACGCGGAAUCCGAGCCGUGUCUGUGACUUAUACCACAGCUCACGGCAACGCCGGAUCCUUAACCCACUGAGCAAAGCCAGGGAUCGAACCUGCAACCUCAUGGUUCCUAGUCAGGUUCAUUUCCGCUGCGCCAUGAUGGGAACUCCAUUUCUUUUUUCUUUCCUUUUCUUUUCUCUUUUCCUUUCCUUUCCUCCCCUCUCCCCCUUCUUUGCCCUUCUUUCCUUUCCUCUCCUCUCCUGUCCUUGCCUUUCCUUUCUUCUGUUCUUAGAACAACAUCUCGACGGCAUGUUGACGUCAUGGUAGACAUUGCAGUUUGGCUCUUCAAACAUCCAUUCGCAGGCACCUUCUCCCCGACCUUCCUCUCCUGAGACUGGAAAGCAAAUCAUUUCAUUUCCCAGCAUCCUUUGCAUCCAGGCUGGGCCCGUGACCCAGUUUGGGGCAAAGAGUUAGAAGGAGAAAUCAGCAAAGAGAGGCUUGGGAAAGGUCUUGAUUUCUGUUAAAAAGGGACACAUGCAGCUGGCAUUCCCCCGUUUCCUGUCUGCUUUUAUUCAUUAUUAAAUGUGGCGUUUGAUUGAAAGGACAGCACACAUGGUGUAGUCUUGAGCCAAGAGACUCACAGGGCUGUUGACCCCAGCAUUGUGGACCCACUGGUCCAACCUCAGCCACCACCUACCUGUGUCAUGUCAGGAAAACUGGCCUCUAUUUUUUUUAGCUGCAGUGAAUCCAGUUUUCUGCUAUUUGCAGGUGACAUCAUUCCAGAACAAUGCCACUCCAAAUCUUCUAAAGUUAAGACCUAGGAAGCUGCUUGAGGGGCAACCUGAGGAAACUUAACUUUUGGCGAUGAGACAGAAGUGGACAGAAGUUGAGGUCAAAUCUUAUAGAGUGGUGAUAGUAAAAUCCUGAGUCUGAUAGAAGGCACUAGAUUGUGAAAUGAGGUAGAAAUACCUAUAUUUGCCAGACGUUUCUCCCAAACAGUCACAGUCACCGAGUGCUGCUAAUAAAAAGUGUAAGUUGGCGUUUUGCAAACUGUAAUCAGAUUAAAAGGGAAACCCCAGAGAUAUGGAAGAAACCUGAGAGUCCACAAAUAGAAUUCAUGCAUUGGAAAGGACCCUGCAUCGUUGCCGCAGAGUCCACCUAGAUUUUCGGGCCUGAUAGAGAGAAUUCACAGGGCUCGUCAUCAGUCACUUAAAGCAAGAAGGACGUGUAUGUAUUCCUGCCCGCGUCAGCCAUUCUCUUUGCUGUUUGACUCGGCCUUUGCGAAUGAUUCAGCAGAGUCUCUGAAAACCCUUCUAACUAGGAAGCCCAGGAUAAGGAAUGUCUCAUGUCUCACAUUUGUAUCCAUGCUGUUAAUUCUCUGCUGGUACAUGGUGGCUCUUUUAUCAGUUUGCAAGGGCCUCCUUCCUUUUUGGAUAGAAAAUUCUUGCCUUUGGUCCGGAGAAAGAUUGAGUUUCUUCACUGGGACUAUGACGUGAAUUUACCUGGCAACUUGUUUCUCCACAUCAUUCAGGUCUGUUCCUUCCUUCACUUAUUCAGCCUGAUGGUAGACCUUUCAGGGCCGUGUUUCUUGAGCUGCUCUCUUGCGGGCAGUUAGAAGUGACUUGAUAGUUUCUGAGGAAAAAAAAAUAGCACCUAAAUCUAUGUUUUUUCACACAUUUGACAUGUAAAAAUAAUUGCGGUUAUUCACAGAAAUUCCGUUAUAUUUUUAAAGAUUAUUUUUGCUAAUGUUCACUUGACUAGAGUUUUUUUUUUUAACUUCCUUUGGGUAUGACUGUUUACAUUUACUGAAAUUCUCCUUUUCCAUCCUUAUUAUGGGCUUUAUAUCAGCAGUUCUCAUAAAGAGAUCCGAGGUUCAAAAGUGAUUUGCUGAGCAUAAAGUUAGUGAUGAAAAUAGGUAUGCUGGAGUUCCCAUCCUGGCUCAGUGGCUAAUGAACCCAGCUGGUACCCAUGAAGAUGCGGGUUUGACCCCUGUCCUCGCUCACGUGGGUUAAGGAUCCGGUGCUGCCGUGAGCUGUGGUGUGGGUCGCAGACGAGGCUCGGAUUCUGUGUUGCUGUGGCUGUGGUGUAGGCCAGCAGCUGUAGCUCCAAUUCGACUCCUAGUCUGGGAACCUCCAUAUGCCCCUGGUGUGGCCCUAAAAAGACAAAAAGAAAAAAAAAGAAAGAAAGAAAGAAAGAAAAUAGGUAUGUAGUUACUGCCACUCAAAAUAACGUUAUCAGCAAGGACUAGGACUCAAUGCGUAUGUGAAUAUGUGUGCGUUGGGACGAAGUGUGAACAUGAGCUAAUGUGAUGUGUUUUUGACAGCCUCUGUCCUAUCUGUGUGCACAGGAAGAAUCAAAAUGAAUAUGUGAGAGUACAUUUUACUCUAAGCGAAUUACAUCUGCAGACGCCUGACUUUCAAGAUGAAUGCAUGAAGGCAUGAUUGACUCUGUGAGGGUUAGACUGGAUUCCUCUCUAACAUGCGGUGCAUUAUCUAUUUGGAAAAUUUGUAGAGUCGGAACAUAAAUUCAACCACAUUCUCAUUCCAUUUUUAAACAAAUCCUAGUGGUAUAACUCUUAAGCACUUGAGUUUCUCCAGAACAAGAGCAAAAUAAUGCUUUCCAAGACAAAACUGGUGAAUUAGUUAAAGCAGUGAAGAGACCAAAGCUCUUGAAGUAUCAUCCAAAUUCAUACUCCUUGAAGCAAAACAUCUUAAUGACACUGUGGCCAAGACCAUUAGAAGACUGGCCUUAAGUUAAAAAAUACGCCCGGGCAGAAAUCAGAAUGAGGCUUUGGCAAGAAUCCCUCAUCCAGCGACACUUUGGAUUUCUCACUCGUGGUCCUGCCCCACGGAGGGAAGUUGCUGUUGCUUUUUCGUUGAAGGGCUCUUGAUACCCCGAGUAUGAGUCAGCUCUGAGCCUUUUGCAGGACACACAUGGGGGGAAGGUGCAGUGUUCUAUUUAAUCGCGUAAGUCCCCGCCGUGGGGGAAGACGUCUUCCAUGCAGCUAAGGGUGAUUUUGUGAUUCACAUGCCGGCUGCCACCGGUGGCUGGAAUCAGGAAUGAUGGCUCUGCUCUGCAGAGACGAGAGCUCGCCCCCAGGGCUGGUUCAUACGCUGCUUGAAUCAAAGGGAACCGACGCAAAGCAGUCCCAGGAGCAGGACGGACAGGGCUCCGGGAAGGCAGUGGCAGGCUUACCUGCCAAGGUUGUGUGGCAACGUAGCCCUGGUGCCGUACCACCCGUUCCUGAGUCAGAGCUGAAGGAAAUGGAGACAACUCCAAGUCCUAGCAAACCACAGCUAAUGAGUAUAUGUCUUUUCUGUUUUUUUUGUUAAUUAGCAGAGCAGUUCGCAUUCUGCUUUUUGGCACUAGAAUAUGCUGGCUCUGGACGGGGAAAUGCGCUUUCCCACUUUUUUUUUCAAAUAAAGGAUGAGGAAAAAAACCCACAUUUUUCCAUGACACUAAAAUACCCUUUUAAAAAUAUCGUUUCAAGUGGCUGGCUCAAGUGGACUCUCUCAACAACAGAAAUUCCAUGUUGGUUCCCAAAUGCCAUGAAUUUUAAUGUCAAGGAUUAGAUAAAAUAUCAGGAUUUCUUGAGGAAACCAAGCCAGUGCAGACACUUGCAUUGCUGGGGGUUUAAUUCAUUCUCAGUGCUUGAUAAUUUUCUUCACUUACGGACAAUAAUCAUUGAUGAUAUAUUACUGAUCAUGUUUUAAGACCACAUCCAAAUGUUCCAACAUACCAUGAAGAAAUACUUGGGAGAGGAGAAAGCAACAAAAUGGGUGUGUGAGGAAUUCACCGACCAAUAAAGCUCUCCCAAGUUGAAAAAGACAGUUUUCAACUUUUGGAUAUGAUGACCUUAUUAAUUAGAUCUCCAAAGAUGACUCAGUGCUUGCUGCCAGCCCCAACCACUUCUGCUGUGCUCAAACCAAAGUGUAAACUAAUAUAUGAAUAAACACACAUAUGUUCUUUUCCUGCUCAUGCUUUUUAUUAACAAAGGGAUGCCAUUUUACUAUGUAUUUUACUUUGCGACUUGCUUUUCAUUAUUCAAAAAAUAUACCAUGGGCUAAUAAUCUCCAAGUCAAUGAUACAAACAUUUAUUUAGAAUGUUCUAAUUUUGUAAGUAAAAUAAUAAAAAGAAACCAACUGAGUGUGAAACUUAGCACAGAUGAAGAAACAGUGCCAAUGAAUCCCCUGUUAAUAGGACAAAAGCUUGAUUUUGCAAUUUUAUGUAAGAGCUGAUCAUUUAAAAAUGGAGACAUAUUUUUAAGCAUUUAUUGCAGUGUAAUUGACAUACAACAAACUGCAAAUAUUUCUUUCUUUCUGUCUUUUUUGCCUUUUCUAGGGUCGCACCGGUGGCAUAUGGAGGUUCCCAGGUUAGGGGUCGAAUGGGAGCUGUAGCUGCCAGCCUACACCACAGCCACAGCAACGUGGGAUCUGAGCCACGUCUGCAACCUACACCACAGCCCAUGGCAACGCCAGAUCCUUAACCCACUGAGUGAGGCCAGGGAUUGAACCCGCAACCUCAUGGUUCCUAGUCGGAUUUGUUAACUACUGCGCUACGACAGGAACUCCUAAACAAAUAUUUCAACUGUCAAGUGUGAGUUUGGACUUAUGGAUAUAUGUGUGAAACCAACACCACAAUCAAGAUAAAGAACAUCUCUCUCACUGCCGGAAGCUCUCUUGUGCACCUGUGUGAUCUCUCCCUCCAGCCCCACCUGGGCUCAGGCUGCAGCUGAGGUUCAAGUCUGCUCAUUCUGAGACCAGUGGCCACGUAAGGUGCCCUCCUCUUCUAGCGAUGCCAGAGCACAGGACGCCAAGCCACAUCACGCAAGCUCCGUGAAAACUUCUCGUUGAUGACCCCUGAUACUGCAGUGGCCAAAUCAAGUCACAUGGCAGAGCCUAACUUCAAAGUAGCGGAGAAAUGCCCUCUGUUCACUCGAGGGGAACGUCCUGCAGAGUCGCCUGGCAAAGGAGGUGGCUCUCUUAUGCUUUAACUGAGAGGAAGUAAAAGAUGGAGAAGAAUAACACCGUAACCGCAAACGGGCAGCUGAAAAUAUGGAACUGGUGUUGGAAAGUCGGGAAUUCAUAUUUGGUAGUUGAAGCCUCCCUGUGUUUGACAGUGUACAGAAGGGAAUGACAAGAUGGCACUGGGACUUUAGGCUGUGCCACAUCUAGGGCAAGAGUGCACGAUAGGGAGAUAAGAAGAGCCAGCUGGAGGCUGGAGGAGCACCCAAGGUGCAAGAGAACGUGUCAUCAGCGUCCUCUUUCAAACAGAACAAGAGGUCCUGGAGAAAUGUGAAUGGUUCUACCUGUAAGCAUUUUACUAAUUCCCUCCACUGUCCACAUUCUAGUUUCCUUCUCCUUUAUUUUCCCUUCUCCUUGGCGUCUAGAUAAGGGAACCAAACUAUAUGCGGAAGUCUCUGAUCUCAUUUUUUUAAAAAAAAUAACUAGAUUCCUAUUACAACCAAAACCAGGAUCGUGAAGGGAUCAAAUUUCUGUUUUCUUUUAAGCCUUCAGAACAUACACAGUGAGAGCUUAUUUACUGUUCCACAAAACCUUCCGUGUACACGUGUAUACAUGUAUGUCGCAAUGGAAUACAUGUUUGCUAUGAAGGGUCUGAAGUAUCACAUAUAAAAGCAUCAUAUGGCCGGUCUUCUGGAAGAAUGGCCACUCCCUCAUUUUCUGUGACUCAUCACUCCAUGAGCACUGGGAGGACCUGACCACAGCUGUACAGAAACUUCCAUAAUAAAACCAUAAUGGGCACUGCACAAAUUGCCUUUUUUAGAUUUGGGGUUUCAUUGCAAUUGCGAAUGUUGGACGGAUUUCCUUGAGGCUUGGCCUGAGGACCAUCUAGCCGCUCUUUGCCCAAUCCUGAGUCGGGAAUAUGCUUUUAGGUGGAAACUAUGCCCUAAAUUCUGUGCUAGGUGUGGGGGUGGUGUUUUCGUUGUUAUGUAUAGCAGAUUCUAUAGAAACUUAAAAAAGUAAUUAUUUGCGAAAAGAGCUGUGUUUCCUUCUUGGCCGUGUAUUGAGAAGGGACAGUGAUGGUUCAUUUAAAACUUUCUGAUGUGGUAUUUCAGUGGCUAAUCUGUGGACCUCUCGUUGGCCC